rnacentral:lncRNA from 1 species
CUGUGCCCUGCCCCCAGAGGUGGAGCCUACAGAGGCAGGCAGGCCUCCUUGAGCUGUGGUGAGCUCCACCCAGUUCGAGCUUUCAACCUGGGCAAUGUGUGAUGCCUCCAGCUUUGUUCUUUUGGCUUAGGUUUGUCUUGGCAAUGAAGGUUCUUUUUUGGUUCCAUGUGAACUUUAAAGUAGUUUUUUCCAAUUCUGUGAAGAAAAGGGAUGAAGCCAACUUGAUCGUGGUAGAUAAGCUUUUUGAAGUGCUGCUGGAUUCGUUUUGCUGGUAUUUUAUUGAGGAUUUUUGCAUUGAUGUUCAUCAGGGAUAUUGGUUUAAAAAUCUCUUUCUUUGUUGUGUCUCUGCAUGGCUUUGGUAUCAGGAUGAUGCUGGCCUCAUAAAAUGAAUUAAGAAGGAGUCCCUCUUUUUCUAUUGAUUGGAAUAGUUUCAGAAGGAACGGUACCA